AUAGAGAGAUAAAAUUGAGUAAAACAGCUCUGUCUUUUUCAGGCAUUAUGAUGCUAAUAAUGCAACAGCUACCCUGGGACAGUUGAUGUGCUCCUUUCACUUGAAUGGAAACCCUUCAAGACCUUUCGAAUGGUCAACACUCAGCUGAGUGAGGGAAGCUGCAGCAGAAAACAGCACACAGCUCCUGGUACAGCCUGAUGCUGGUUCCCAUUGCAGGAACGGCUUGGAUGGACCAGGGGCACACAGAGCUCUGAGAGGGAUGGACACAUGGCACCAGGAUCAACACAAUGCCCCAAGAUGGACACACAAACCCAGGAUGGACACACAGAUCCAGGAUGGACACACAGCUCCAGGAUGGACACACAGCUCCAGGAUGGACACACAGCUCCAGGACAGGGAUGAUCCUGAUGGGAAAAAUCCUUCCUCCUUGUUGAGGCUCUGCUUCCAGCCCCAGGACAAGGGCACUUUUCCCCUCUCCAUCGCCUCCCCCCACACUCCCCACUCUCGUGCUGCUUUGGGGAAUCAGGGAGGGCUGCCUGAGCCACAGGGAUUUGCAGGGUUUCCUCGGAAAUCCUCGAGUACACAUAAGUCUCUAGUGGCUGAGAUUAAGAGUAAAUACAAUUGCUGCUGUCUUCUUUA